UAUUCAGGCACUCAGAUUCUACUAAAAGGCUUCCUGAUGUUUCCUCUUUGGGGUCUAGGAUUUGCCUGGCUGAUUUUUGGCUUGACCACUAAUUCUGAGCCUGCAGUGGGAGCUAAUGCAACCUCCAGAGAGGACUGUAAUCAAGACUGCAAUGGAAUACAGUAUGACAUCCGAGAGGCUGUUUGCUGUGAAAAUAAGCUUCACCCUGGUGUAAGUCUAUUUUGCUGUGGAAAGGAGCCUUACAAUCCUGGAACAGCCACUUGUUGUAAAAUACGACAUGGACACAGCACCACAGCUGUUACACAGGGUCUAAGUGAAAAUGUGUCCAAGUGCUGUGACCUGAAGGCGUACAACCCAGUCAAUGAAAUAUGCUGUCAAUCAACCAUCGUAGCAAAACCUGGACCAAUGGCUGAAUGCUGUGGUAAAGAGGCUUAUGAUAAGGACAAGCAGUUGUGCUGUGGUCCGACUGAGAGCAAGAUGAUUCUGAUGAGGAAUUCCAGUCACCACCAGUGCUGUGGUCACAACCAGUAUGACACAGAGACUCAGUGCUGCUGUUCAAAUGAGGAAAGCGUGGAGAUACAAUCAAAGGAUUCAUCCUGUUGUUUCAAGGACUUUGGUGUAUCUGCAGCUCCUUUAUGUGGAAAUACGACCUUCAACAUACAUACGCAUUUAUGUUGUCAGUCAACUGUUGUUGCCAAAUCUUCACCACAGCACAGAUGUUGUGAUAAAGGGACAUAUGAUGUGGAAAAGGAGCUGUGUUGUGGUCCAAUUAACGAUAAGAAGAUCCUUAAAAGGAACUCUACAGAUCACCAAUGCUGUUAUCAUGACCAGUUCAACACAAAGACUGAGUGCUGUUGUUGGAAAAAGGAAAGUGCUGAAGUACAAUUGAAGAAUUCAUCUUGCUGUUCAGAGGAGUCAGCUGUGUUUGAAGGUCAAAGCAAGUCCAAGGUGGAUAACCAAGUCUGCUGUGAUGGCUGUGCAUCUGUGCAGAAGCCUUGGAUUAAUCAAUGCUGUGGAGAGACGCCGUAUGGCUCGGCACAGCGUGGAGUUCUCUGUUGUAAUAACAUCUUGUACGAGAACAGAGAUGAUGGAGAGGAAUGUUCAGAGACUGGUAUUCCUUACAACCUGGCUAAAGGGACUAUAUGCUGCUCUCAGUUUCACGGCAGCCCGGGAAAACACUGCUGUGGGACAGAAAUUUACCAUCCUGAUGCUGAGAUCUGCUGCAACGGACACAGACAUUCCAAAUCGAAAAAUAUUCACUGCUGUGGGAUUAAAGCCUACAACAUUAAAGACCCACAGAUGAAGUGCUGUGCAGGAACACUGUACAAUCUGACACUGUUAGAUGAGCAUGGACAGGAUGCACAGUGUUGCGGAUCCCUUCUGCAAAAGCAACAGGACAUUUGCUGCUCAAGUGAGGACAGAGAAGUGCUAUACUCUGCUAGGACAGGAUUCAGAUGCUGUGGUCACCUCUACUUCAACACCACCCUGUGGUCAUGCUGUGCCGAGCGGCUGAGAUCAAUCCAUGAACCAGGACAAGAUCAGAGGAAGAUGAGUAAUGGUCUGUCGUUUCUACUUAAAAGUCCUUUCACAAAGUAGAACUUCAUUUUGUGUCAUUUGAACUUAAUAGCACAGCUUAGAUCAUGUAUUUCACCUGUUCUGUGUCUAUAAUGGGUUUUUUUUUACAGAAUCCAGACUUCAAUCAGUGAAUAAUAUGAACAAAACUGAUCUUUGCAAAAAAAUGCGCAUCGGGACGGUGGAAAGUGUCUCUCUGCAUAGCAUUGUGUUCAAGAGCGUGCUGAAGAUCCGUGGGAAGAAGGCCAAAGUGAAAGCGUUGCCUUUCCCUUAUAUCUUGAAAACAGAUGAUCGCUGCAGCUCACCCAAACUGAUUCCUGGGAAGACCUACUUCUUUAACAAAGUUAAUGUUUUCACCGAUUCCAACCAUGACACUGUUCUUCAGUCACUCCACUUCAUUUUUUCCAAGUGUUCACCUUAGAUCACCAGUCGCUGAUGGAUACAUAUUACUUCUUACUCACACACCGAUUUACAUUUUUUCAUAACAGCUACUACAGAGAUGCGUUGUCACAUAACGGUCUGUUACCUCUAAAACAAUCAACCUUAAAGGUACUCAUCCUCAUAAAAAAAUUUCAACCUGACGUUUUACCAGCGAUACCAGUGGCAAAGUUGGUGAAAACCAACCCAAAGAGAUCUUUUCAGUUCAUCAUUGCUUUUCUUACUCAUUCAGACUCAAAAUUUGACCUGUUUGCUUCGAUUAGCAUGCACUCACCUUGAACAUUGCUCUGGAUCCCACAGAUCUUCAUGAGCUUUACUGAUCUUUAUGUUACUUUUUCAGAUUUUUGAAUAGGUUUGAGUUUGCAUUUGCAGCAGUGUUGCACUGCCAAAAAUUUUAGGCCAGUCACUUUUUUUUUCUACAAGAUGAGAUCAGUUAUUGUUGCACAAAUAACAGUUGGAGUUUUUUUGUUUGUUUAUUUUAAAAUUUUCUAUUAUACAGAUUAUGUAACUUGAGUAAAAACAAAAACACAGCUGGUUUGCUAGUAGCAGGCAACCAUUUACCUUAUUUAGAGACAAUGAUGCACAAUAUUACUGCAAUACAGACAAAUGUGAUGCGAGUAUACAAUGCAUUACUUUUUAUAUCACACCCACACUGCUUACUUAUUUCAUUAAGAAAAUCGCAUUGUGUUUCCAAAACAGCAGUAUCAGUUACUAGUGAUAUUACUUAUACAUUGUUAUCAAUAUAUUAUACAUUGUUUUUCAAAUAUUGUUUCACUUGUUACAUUACUCUGCUUGUAUUCAGCCAAACCAUGUUCCUCUUUGGUUUAAGAUGCCCCCAAAAGUCUCAUCACUGUGAGACUUUAUGUAAAGAUGUUUGAAAUGAGUAAGAACAAUGUACUUCAAAGUGUAAUAUUUACUGAACUUCAUAUUGUAGUCAGUCACACAACUUAAAGUAAUAACUGAGUGUAACACAGCCAAUUGGUACACAGUGUUGUUCAAAUCUAAAUCUGUAAUAUAUGCAAUAAUAGAAUAUGAUCACCAACUGCCAGUCUGAAACAAAAAGAAAAAGCUAAAGAAGCAAACAGUAUAUCAAAGCUUGUGCGAGUCUGGGAUCAGCAGUAACUGAUACCUUAGCAGUCAUUAUAGCAGGUAGCACACAAGAAUAGCAUACAGCUCUGUGCUCAAGCUACGCUGCUAUUAGCUAAUAUGGUCUUUAAAUAUUGGGGAUUAUUAUUUUUAUGCUAUUCUGAUUCUUGCACUAAACUAAAUUAUAAAUGGCGACUGUUUGCACAUCAUUAACCCAUAUAGUUGAAUUUAUACAUGUUCUAUUAAUGGCAUUCUCUUAUUUUUAUUCAUUAAGCUACUAGAUGUACUCAACUUGGCAUUUAUCGUGAAAUAUGCUUUAAGGACCCAAAAGACCACCCAGAGGUCACAUUUAAAUGUCUUGGGUUUGUUUACUUGUAACUACUCAUUUUUGUUCUCCUUGGUUUAAGCUACAUUUUUUUAUUCGGAAUAUGUUUGGCAUUUAUUUCACUGUAUGUUUCUUCACAAUAUAUAAGACACACCUUUAACCCAGAGAAACCCUGGAAAUGUUGAAGGCACGCAAUUUUAUAUUUUGCAUGUUUUAGUGAAAUUGUAGGAAGUACUGUCUUUUUAAGGAUAAAGCUUUGAAUAAAUAAAUAUAACAGCAUGUUGUGUUUUAUCUUAUUGAAUUGAUGGUCUUUAGGUUGGUCUUGCGAUUUAUUCAUGGAUCAAAAGAUAGUUCCAGCUGGAGAUGAAAUGAAUACAGAAAUACACAGAAAGUAGUGACUCUUGUGCCAAAAAUCCCCUGAAAUAUAGAUUUCAAAGUGACCUUUGAAAUUGACCUGGCCUCUUGUCCCCAGGCAACAGCUGUC
ensembl:lncRNA